rnacentral:lncRNA from 1 species
AAGAAAAAAACAAAACACGUGACCAUGAGACUUCCCCCAUUCCACCGCAUGUGACCGCUGGUCUUCCCCAGCUGGCGGAAGGUGCAUGCAUCUAGGGAAUCAUCAACACUUUUAUGAUUAUUAAUUAACCUACAACUAUCUAUGAUUCAAACUUUCCCAGGUAUUCUAUCAUUAAUAUAAUAAAAAUGUAUUUAACAGUCAUUAUCAGCAUAAAAAAAGAAACAACUCUCUUCU